GUGAGGAAUAUUGGUCAAUGGGCGGGAGCCUGAACCAGCCAAGUCGCGUGAAGGAAGAAGGAUCUAUGGUUCGUAAACUUCUUUUGCAGGGGAAUAAAGUGCAGGACGUGUCCUGUUUUGUAUGUACCCUGAGAAUAAGGAUCGGCUAACUCCGUGCCAGCAGCCGCGGUAAUACGGAGGAUCCGAGCAUUAUCCGGAUUUAUUGGGUUUAAAGGGUGCGUAGGUGGUUUGAUAAGUCAGCGGUGAAAGUUUGCAGCUUAACUGUAAAAAUGCCGUUGAAACUGUCGGACUUGAGUGUAAAUGAGGUAGGCGGAAUGCGUGGUGUAGCGGUGAAAUGCAUAGAUAUCACGCAGAACUCCGAUUGCGAAGGCAGCUUACUAAGCUACAACUGACACUGAAGCACGAAAGCGUGGGGAUCAAACAGGAUUAGAAACCCGGGUAGUCC
rnacentral:rRNA from 1 species